rnacentral:rRNA from 1 species
ACAGCAGUAGCCGCGGUAAAACGAAGGGUGCAAGCGUUACUCGGAAUUACUGGGCGUAAAGCGUGCGUAGGUGGUGGUUUAAGUCCGUUGUGAAAGCCCUGGGCUCAACCUGGGAAUUGCAGUGGAUACUGGGUCACUAGAGUGUGGUAGAGGAUAGUGGAAUUUCCGGUGUAGCAGUGAAAUGCGUAGAGAUCGGAAGGAACAUCUGUGGCGAAGGCGACUAUCUGGGCCAACACUGACACUGAGGCACGAAAGCGUGGGGAGCAAACAGGAUUAGAUACCCCGGUAGUCCCUGUCUCUUAUAC